rnacentral:snRNA from 1 species
AAACAAAACAAAACAAAACAAGUCAUUCUGCCACCCCAUUCAUCAACAGGGUAGAUUUGACUGAUCAGCUGACUAGGCAGAUGUCUCUUUCCUUCCUAGCCACUCCAAGUGCAUCCCUCCUGAAGCUGCAAAGAGGAGGAUAACCUUCCCUGAAUAGAGAGAGGAUAAUCGGUCAAGUGUUUAUAAGUAGCUACUUUCCCCUGCUAGACAUUCCAAACAAGCUCUCAAGAAACCAGGUUAUAAUAUCCAGAAGAGAGCUCAGAAUUGUUCCUUAAACAGUAUUU